AUCUUAUCCGCCGGAUGACUAAGGGUUCCUGGGUCAAGUUCGUCUUCCCAGGGUGAGUCGGGUCCUAAGGCGAGGCCGACAGGCGUAGUCGAUGGUUAACGGGUUGAUAUUCCCGUACCCGUGUAUAUGCGCCCAAGGGUGAAUCGGUGAUACUAACCACCCUGACCGCACCAUAUGAUGAUCCCUUCGGGGGUUGAUCGGUGGUGUGUGAUGCGUGGGGCCUAAACCGUAGUAGCCCAGUGAUGGGGUGACGCAGUGAGGUAGCCUAGCCACUUAUUGGAUUGUGGUGUAAGCGUGUGGCACGACGAUGAGUCAAAUGCUUGUUGUCACAAAGUGUGAGGCGUGAUGCGUAACCCCUGAAGGGGUGAUGUAGGUGAUCCUGUACUGCCGAGAAAAGCCUCUAGCGAGUGUGUACACGGCCCGUACCCGAAACCGACACAGGUAGUCAGGUAGAGAAUACUAAGGCGGUCGGGUGAACUGUGGUUAAGGAACUCGGCAAAAUACCCCCGUAACUUCGGGAGAAGGGGGACCUCUACCGGUGCGCAGCUUUUACGGUUGUUGUGCUGGUGGGGGUCGCAGAGAAUAGAGGGGAGCGACUGUUUAUCAAAAACACAGGUCCGUGCGAAGA
rnacentral:rRNA from 1 species